AAAAGAAGAGAAGAAGAAGGUCGUUGGGCAGAGCGACAGUGGUUCACUUGAGCGCGAAGGAAGUUACGCAGGAAUUAACAAUGGAGUGCGCCAGAAAAGUGAGGGGAACUACGUGUUUGGGUCCACCCAGAAGACGCUGUGUCCGCUGCGGAGCCGUUGCUUAUUGCUCCGUCUUCCACCACGUCCGUGAAAAGGAGGCCAGGUGUUUAUUCUGAGCAACAGCGGCAUCCAUCAAGUGGGAAUGUGGUUGCAUGAUUUCUCUUUUGUGUUGGUUACUUCCUCUGAUUGUGAAGGAGACAAAGGUCCUAGCAGUUUUUACCGAUUAUUGUGAAGAAGCUUGUCAUCUUGGAGCUUAUUGCAUAAGCACUAUAACUGGCCAUCCUCCCACAUUUCAUGUGUGUUUCACUUUCUUUCUGUCGCUUUUUCCCCAAGUUACUGUUUCAUUCUGUUCAAAAGCAUGGAUUUGUCACUGCUUAAUUUGAUUAGAUUCAAAAUUAUUCCUCUGCCUUGUAUAUACAAUUAAAUCCAUUCAGACAGCCAACGGUGGUUGAAAACGGUGCUUUAUUUCUCCCUUGAUACAGUAAUUGCUUCCUCUAUGGGAUGUGAAAUGGUCUUCUUUUGAUAGAUUCAUGGAGCUCUGGAAUCAAACCAUCAUUCCCUUGUGUUAUCUGCAGGUAUAAGACAUCUUACUGAUGCAGCUCUCCUAAAGUUUUUGGGUGUUCAUGGAAAAAUUUUGGGAGACGUGUGCGUUACUCUGGUGAUCAUGAUCUAGAGGCUUGACGCAACCUUAAG